rnacentral:lncRNA from 9 species
GGAUUGGCAAGUGAUGAGAGAAUGCUGAUAUCCCUACAAGCCAGCUUGACUUCUAGAACCUUCCAAAGCCCGGGAUCCAAGUUCUGUUGUAAUCCAUCAAUGCAGGAAAGAAUUUUAUGGUUUGCUUAAGAAGAAGCAAACUUGAUGUGGAAACACACAUUUGGAGGGAUUUUGGAGAGAUGUGCUCGGGUCAGCCUAGAAAGUCAGACAUUGGAAAACGUGAAGUGCCCAUGGGUGGCAAGACCCAGCAGCCUGCAUGGAUGAAUACAGUAACCUCAGUGAAUCUGCUGUUCUCAGGGAAGCAGAAUGAGUCCAGGUUUGGUAGGCAGAAAGACCAAAGUGUGAGUCUUGUCUUCACCAUUUCUUUGCUGUGAGUUUCAGGUGAGUUUCUUUGUCGCUAAGCUUGUGUUCUGUGGCACAUAAAAUGGAGAUUAAAGAUUACAUGAGCUAACAGAUGGAAAUGCAAAUCUAAAUGUAGGACUAGCAUAAUGAACUGUCUAACAGAUAGCAUUCAUCAAAUAUGUGUUGAACUAUGGUAGGGCCACCGAUGUAUUUUGAAGUAACCACCUCCCCAACCCUUAGCACCAUCCUAGCACUGGUGGCAGGAGGAUUUGGGGUGAGAAGCCUGCUUCUUAUUUCCUUCUCUCCACCACUGGAACCAAAAGGAUUUUUUAAAAUUUCCCCUGAGUAGUUAUCCUACUAUCUUAGGGCAACAAGUCUUAUAGUCCAGCUGGAUUAGUACAGAAAAGAUAGUUUCAUUUUUGUUUUUUCUUAAUUAAAAUAUAGUUGCUUUAUAAUGUUGUUCUAAUUUCUGCCAUACAGCAAAGCCUCUCAGUCACUCACAGAAGAGAUAGUUUAUUUUUUUAAGGUGUCUGAGUGAAAGAGAUGACCUUGAAAUAAGAUGAGAGAAGUUUGGGAAAGUUUAACAGAGACUGGAUUCAGAAGUAUGGAUUUAAGGAAAUAAGAAAGCAUAAUGCAGGGAGUUCCCACUGUGGCUCAUUGAUAAUGAACCUGACUAGUAUCUAUGAGGAUGCAGGCUCGAUCCCCGGCCCUGCUCAGUAGGUUAAGGAUGCAGAAGAUGUGGCUUGGAUCUGAUGCUCUUAUGGCCAUGGCUCCAAUUUGACCCCAAGCCUGGGAACUUCCAUAUGCCAUGACAGUGGAAGAAAAAAGAAGCAAAA